CACACGUACGGUCGCGCCGCGCGUUCACUGAUGCGUCAUACUGCUAUCGAAGACGACGCGUGUUCUAUCCAUUCGGAACGACACUUCCCGCGCGCCAUGUGAACUUCUCGUGUCGAUCAUAAUAAUUUUUGUCGCGCGACCGCUAUAUUUAAAAUAAUUUAAUAAUUAUUUUCAACAUGGACAGUGAAUUUCGUGAUGCUGAAAGACAUAUUAUGUGGCAGUGGUGCAUGAGGUUAACGCACGUGCUCGCAUCGUUCCUGAAAACCCGAAGGACUCCGUGGAGUAGUAUCGCAGGGAUUUUGGGCGCAUCAUGGCACCCUGCUUGAGUGAUAGCAAUUUGAGGUAUCGGGCAACUUGAAGUGACAGUGAAGUGACUAAGUGUCACCUAAGCACUCCGGGUGAAUAUCGAUAGUACUAUACUGCAAGGAAAUCAAUUCAAAGCUCCGAUGUUCAGCAUUUUUCACUGCAACCUCCAUCUAUAACCAGCAGCUGCUGGGAGGCGAGCAAACAAGAUGAUUGGUGCCGCAAGUUAACAACAGGGCACAAAUACAGCAUUAAUCCAGCCAGAGCUUUUCGGCUUCAACGGGAAUAUCCACAAUGCAACGAGCCCGUAUGCCUGGUCCUCAGCCACAUUUACCACCACACUUCAUCACUCCGAUUUACUUGAGAUACAGAUCAGUUCCGAUCCACCGCGAACGCAGUAUCGACUCAAGGUAAUCUCAAGCAAACUAGUGGUACUACUUGUACCGACAAGGAUUACCCACAACAUAGCUAUUACAACAAUACGAUCGACAAUGGGUACUACUGUACUGACACCUAUGGGUAUAAUCAGUGGCUUCCUAAACUACGAUGACGUCAUACCCCGAUUCGCGCUAACGAAGUGUUUCGGACCGCUGAGCAAAAAUGCUAACAUCAUCAGCCACCGGGGCCUUCGGGUUAGACGUUGAAGGAACAGUAUACCUUCAUACUUUCCAGCCAACCAAAGAAGACAUGAAGAAUUGCUCUCAGCCGUUUGAAAGACAUGGGUGGCGAGAUGUCCAGUACAUCACCAAUUCUCACUACCUUGUCUUUCAUGCGGAGUGAGCACCUCUCCGCCGGAAGAUAGUUGCUACCGGAAGGUUCCUUUGCUUUUUAUAUGUAUAUAUUUUUUUUUCAUAUGUCACGUUUGAGCUCAGCUUUAGUUAAGUCUAAGGAAUGUUUUAAACUUUGUAUGUAUAGAAGUAGGUAGAUAAAAGAGUAGUAUCGUAGUAAGAACCCUAAUGAUAUAUAAAUACAUCGUUAUGUUUUUUGCAGAACUGCUAUAAAGAGUAUAGACGUGACCAAUAAACUAUUACUGUCACUUUUCGCUUUAAAGAUGGGAGAUAGGCAAACUAUUAAAAAAGAAUAAAAAAUGCAAUUAUAUAAAGACGUUCCAUCGUCCUUUGUAACUGUGUGUUCACUGUUCACACUACACUUUUUCAUUACACCCGCGGUCAUAUUAAAACAAAAACGACUUCAGUUAUAUAGGAAAACUGCAGUCAAGUAUUACAGUUUGAAGAGAGCUUUGCGUUCGUUUAAAUCUAACAUAUUAACUGUUCGGUGAAGCGAUGUGGUUUAAAAAACACUUCGAAAAGUGUUGUUUUGCAUACACUGGCUUAGUCGUAAAGAUGUGUGGACUGUAUGUUAUACGUGUAUUACUUGUUACCAUUCUUACUCAUUCGUCAGUAAUUUAUUAGGCUCUUCGUCCCAAUCUACAAUUUGCAGUAUAUUGUGCUUAUUAAUUUAUGGUACGAAUUUUUGACUGAUUGUUGUGAUUGUUUAAAGCUAAUAUAUGUGUAUAUAUUUGUUAUGUGUACAUGUUAAUAGUUUUUACUUUAUUUAUAUUGAGUAGGUACAAUUUGUCGUAAAUUUUCCAUAUGAUAAUUUUAAAAUCCUUCGUCAAGUUUAUUUUUAGCGCAAAAAUGCUCUUUAUUAAAGAAGCAGUCAUGUAAAAUGUAAUAAGCCAGACCUAUGCUAAUCAAAUUUCAGAUGUAUCUUGUUUAAUCACAUACGAUGCUCGGAUCGCGCGCUUUCUACGCAGUGAGUCAAUGACAAGGGCAUUGACCUGAGGCAAAAGGCGAAGGCUGGAAUCCUACACGCGUAUUUAUUACAUUUCCCUACAAGCCAUUGCUGUUUUUAUUGCGUCAGUUACUGUAUUUAACGUAUAAAGUAGUAGCUAAAAUGUACAUCGGUGGUUGGAACGCGUUGUUUGAUAAAUAUUCGGGUUUAAAUAUUACCUACCUACUAUUGUCAGAGGCCUUAAGAUUAUAGCAAAUGUGAAGGGAUAAGUGUUUUUUAUUUAAUUUAUAUUCAAAACUAUGUUAUUUCAGACGCGUCUGCAUUUAUUUUAAUUUACAUUGUUAUCAUACGGACUCGAGGGAGUUUGAUUUGAAUUCCUAUAAAAUCAACACAUUUCAUAUAUUAAUAUUUAUAAUUACAUUUAGCUGGUAACAUUUUUAUCUUAAGUACCUAAUGUCUCCUGCACAUACGACAUCAAUUUUAAACAAUUUCCAUAAUUAUAGAUAUUUGUCUACUGUUACAUAGAUAUAUUGCAUGCACGGAAUGAAUACAGUGUUAUUUAUCCACAGAACAAGAAGAUUAGGUGCGUAGCCGUGGCAUCGAAGCCGGUUUGUCAUAGAUCACAAAGUAACUAUCACAGCCAGCUUUGAUGAGCACGACUCCACCUUGACACCACACGAACCCAUCACGAAACAUUUCUCGAGCCUAGCCGGUCAAAGCGUCUGUGAAAUGUCUUCGUCUUCAUAUCACAGCCACUUUGAUGUGGUCGGUUUAUUGAGACCGAUGUCAUUAUGAAUCAUGCCGCAGUUUCAGCGAGUAGUCAGUGGCCUAUUCGCCAAAAUGGUUGUGAAAUGCGUGUGCCAUAUCACAGCCACUUUUGACGAGUUGGGCUGCGAGAUAGUACACCGUUGAUAGCAAGAGAAGAAACACUCCAGACUCUGGUAUGCGGUGCGUGUUUCUCACAAAGUGGUUGUUAUAUGUUUAUAAUCAUAUCACAGCCAGCUUUGAUGAGCGACAAGCGCCAUACAUCUAAACCAACGGAGUUUUUAUUGGUGAUGGAGACGCAAACAAAGGGGUUGUGACAUGUUAUCUGAAUCCACAUAUCACAGCCAGCUUUGUUGACUUCUCUAUCGCCACACUUCGCAGAACAUGAAGAAUAUUUGUAACGCUUUGAAUGGAAAAAUAAACUGUGUUUAUCACAUUUUUUAUGAAGUUUUUAUAUACGAUAUAUGUCUAAUUUACAGGUCCCAGAUGUGGCGAUCAAACGAAGACAGCGUGUAAAUGUUUUGUUUACUACAAAAUAUACAAAUUGAAUUUA